rnacentral:tRNA from 1 species
UUGAUAGAAGCCAAAGGGAGGCAAAUUACUGUUAAUGAUUUAAUUGAAAUUAUAUUUCCUAUCAAU